UGGGUGUGAAUACUGAGGUUUGGGGUUGAUCAUUGAGGUUUGGGGUUGAAUAUUGAGGUUUGGGGUUGAAUAUUGAGGUUGGGAUGUGGUUAAUGAGGUUUGGGAUUGAUCAUUGAGGUUUGGGGUUGAUCAUUGAGGUUUGGGGUUGAUUAUUGAGGUCGGGAUGUGGUUAAUGAGGUUUGGGGUUGAUCAUUGAGGUUGGGAAUGGGGUUAUUGAGGUUUGGAUGUGAAUACUGAGGUUUGGGAUUGAUCACUGAGGUUUGGGGUUGAUCAUUGAGGUUUGGGGUUGAUUAUUGAGGUCGGGAUGUGGUUAUUGAGAUUUGGGGUUGAUCAUUGAGGUUUGGGUGUGAAUACUGAGGUUUGGGGUUGAUCAUUGAGGUUUGGGGUUGAAUAUUGAGGUUUGGGGUUGAAUAUUGAGGUUGGGAUGUGGUUAAUGAGG